CGCAUAUGUGCACACUUUUGUGUAAAUCUGCUCCACCACGCGUACCAUGCUGUAGGAUGGCCUUCGGGGAGUAUCCAUCAAACUAUCUAGGCUCAAGCCCUGUCAUAUUGCUAAGUCAUGUCACUGAGUUCUUAUGAUCGCUGACUGCUGGUAGUUUGGGGCCUAACCAUCAUCUUCACCUGUAACGCAACAUCUUUCAUUCUGUACAACCUAUCCCACCUACCAUUUUCCAGUCAAAGACUAUAGCCGCCUCGGAGCGGUACGCUCACUCACAAUAUCUCCAGAUCGAUGCUCCUCAUAUCAGUAGCAUAGAGUCUCGACAAUUAACCAGGCUUGUGAGACACCAUCAAGACAUUCAUCGAUCUUCGUGCCUCUACGACUUGAUAUAGAUACUCCCAGAGCGUCCGUUCAACGUUAUUCCUCACAAAAUUGGGUAUGGAAACAAAAAGAUGCCCCCUUAUGGCUACACAGUCCUCAAAUGAGGAAGGAGAUCGCACGUGGGCGUAGGGUAAGAACAAACUAAAUAUUAAGCAAAUAAAAACAAAUACAAAGCUGUACGUCGGAACGAUACAAGAGCUUUGAGGGAAUACUAGAGUAAGUUUGAUGUUUUACUCAUCGCAGUAAGGAAGGUAGGUCCAAGCAAGGGCCUACGAAUAGAUAGUCAGUCUCAUUGUAAGAGGGAUAAGAAAAAGCGUGCUAAAAGCGGGCACAUUAGUACUAUUCGGUCGACCGACAUCUCAACUGCUUACUCGUUGGCAACAACGGUGUACACCUUCGUGCAGUCUUGCCCUUCAAUACCGAGGCAGACAGUCUCGUCAGGAGUUAAGUUGUCACAGUUCUCAUCGAUAGUGGCAUCGUUCACAAGAGCAAGCUGGUAGGUGGAAACGCCGUAUUGACGAGCUGUGCGCAGUUAUGGGCGCGACGCAUAGGGAGUAAUCAUCAGUGGACGUCGGCAGUCACAAUGGAGGCAAUAAGAUUCACGUUAUCAGCACGCGUAUCCCAAGCGUUGCCAAGCCAUGGCCUCCAGACUCGCAUGUCACCAGACUGCACAGUGGCAUUUCGGGUGCAUCCAUCAAUAGCAACGACGGCUGUUUUUGCAAACGGAUGUUGAACAGAAGGGGGGGUUUCAGCCAGUCAGAUGACAGAUGGCGGGUGUGGCAGAAUGAAAGGAGGACCACGCGGCGCGACAAAGAUAGCAUUCCACUUACAUGAGAGCAGAGGCAAAAUGGCAAAGGCAAAAGCAGCGAGCAUCGUGGUAGGUAUCUUUAACGCGUCGUGAAGUUGUAAAUUUAGGAGUGUGAUGUGGUCGGCUAGGGGGAGUAUAGACGCAAAAAAGCACACGAAUUGCAAAGAAUAAGAAAAGGAAGAGAAAAGAACAAGAAAACAGGCAUAAAAGAGUUUAGACGAUAACUUCCCGAUCGGGUAACUGAUCCGUGUUUUGGUCAAAUGCUGUCCGAGCCGCCGAACCCCUUUUCUGUCGUCUUGUUUGUUGUUUUAGUUGUUUGUUGUUAUUGUUAUUGUGCACCCUCCUUUUUGACUUCCGAAAUCCGUCAGCAUUUAGAUGGGGAAUGUCGUUUGUUGAUGGAACUAUUUAUUCUUAUGGUUAUUUUGCAUGCCUUGCAUACUGCAUUUCACCACGUUGUUAGACUUCCGUUUCACAUCUGCUACUAUGCAACACCUACAGAUCAU
rnacentral:sRNA from 1 species